UACGUAGGGUGCGAGCGUUGUCCGGAAUUACUGGGCGUAAAGAGCUCGUAGGUGGUUUGUCGCGUCGUCUGUGAAAUUCCGGGCUUAACUCCGGGCGUGCAGGCGAUACGGCAUAACUUGAGUACUGUAGGGAGACUGGAAUUCCUGAUGUAGCGGUGAAAUGCGCAGAUAUCAGAGGAACACCAAUUGCGAAGGCAGCUCGCUGGG
rnacentral:rRNA from 1 species